UACAGAGGGUGCGAGCGUUAAUCGGAAUUACUGGGCGUAAAGCGUGCGUAGACGGUCAUGUAAGUCGGGUGUGAAAGCCCCGGGCUCGACCUGGGAAUUGCAUUCGAGACUGCAUGGCUAGGAUGCGGAAGAGGGAAGCGGAAUUUCCGGUGUAGCGGUGAAAUGCGUAGAUAUCGGAAGGAACACCAGUGGCGAAAGCGGCUUCCUGGUCCAGCAUCGACGUUCAGGCACGAAAGCGUGGGGAGCAAACAGG
rnacentral:rRNA from 1 species